GAGAUAGGAAUGAAGAUUAGGAAGAAGCCCAGUGUGUCUUGAACUUACUGAACUGGACUAGAGAACAUGGUGUGAGGAGAGAUUGGUGAAGUAGACAGGGGCUAGAUUAUGUCAGGCUUUGCAGGCCACAAUAAGGAGGUGAGGUUUUAUUUUAAAUAUAAUUGGAAGCCUUUGGAGAUUGCAAGCAGUGAAAUAACCUAAUCCAUAAUCUGAUUUAUAUUUUUAUCUUAUUGCUCUGGCUGCAGUGUGGAGAUGGAGUAAAGGGAAGCAAGGGUGGAAACAGGGAGACCAGUAAGCGGGUAGUUGCAAAUAACACAGGGGAGAGAUAGUGGCAGCUUAAACUAGGAUGAGACCCUGGAGUUGACCUUGUAUUUGUAGGUGCAGACAGCUGGACUUGCUGAUGAGGGCAGUGGGGGAAUUAGACAAGUUGAUUAAGGAGGGCUUCCUGAUUUUUUGCCUUUAGAAAGAGGGUAGGUGAUGGUGCUAUUUAAUGUCUUGCAGAAGACUUUGGAAGGAACAAUUUGGGGAUGGCAAAUGGCAUCUAAGGCUUUGUUUUAGACAUGACACAUUUGAGGUUUCCUUUAUCAGGUCCCUAUAGGAUGAAGAUUCCUUUAUCAGGUCCCUAUAGCCUUGCCUCCUCUCUAUCUAGAUAAUUCACCUUUAAGACUCUAUUCAGCAUCAUUUUCUCUAGGAAGUCUUCUAUAUCAGUCACUUUAAGCCAUGGUAUGCUUCUCUAACAAGCAGUCCCCCAAAUCUCAGUUACUUAUGACAACAGUUUGCUUAUUUCCCAUGUCACAUGUUCAUCAUGGGUCAGGUGCAGCUGGAUCUCAUGUCUUCUUCAUUAUAAGACCCAGACUGAAUGAGCAGCCCUACAACUGGGACAUUCGGGUCUCCUGACAGAGACGAAAAGAGACAUGGCAGAAGUCCACAAUAGUUCUUGGCAUAAUCCCUACAUUCACAUUUCAUUGCCAAGCCAUGUCAUAAAACUAAGCCUGAUGUCUUCAGGUAUGAAAAUAGACUCUUUGCUCAAGGAAGGUCCUAAGAGCAUGGUGCCUGGUAGGGAAGGGAAGCAGUUAUUUUUGAAAAAUAUUAACUAGCAUAGUGCUGGCUAGUGUAGGAGCAUGUUAGGUAUGCAAAUUCUCAGGCCCCACCCUAGACCUGAAUCAGAAAAUUGCAGGAGAUUGGGGCUGGAGACCCAGUAAUUUAUGAUUUAUACAGCCCUGUAGGUGAUUCUAAGGCAUGCUCAAAUUUGAGAAUCACUGAUCUCACAUACCUGCUCUGACCCUCUUCCUGUACCAACUAGGUCAACAACAUUUCCCUAACACAUUCACAUCCUAUCACUGGUGCUACCACAUUAUGCUAUUGUUUCAUGCACAGGAACAAUUAUGUAGAGCCUUGCAGGUUACAUUUGCCAACCUAGCUCAGCUCCAAGAGUGCAGUCCAUGUGCACUUGGAAACCUCUGUUUUGGGGAGGAUCAAGGAGUAUCUGGGUUCCUAGAAGUCACUAUCUUCUGUCUAUAUAUCCUCAGCCCAGCCACUGCUCCACCUGCAAGACUGGUCCAGUUCCUGCAGCACACCCAGGUAAAGAAUGGUCUUGUAAAACACUGUCUCCACUAAACAUACAAAAACAAUAAAAAAAAAUUAGCCAGGUUUGGUGGCGGGCGCCUGUAGUCCCAGCUACUCGGGAGGCUGGGGCGGGAGAAUGGCAUGAACCUGGGAGGCGGAGCUUACAGUUAACUGAGAUCAUGCCACUGCACUCCAGCCUGGGUGACAGAGAGAGACUCCGUCGCAAAAAAAAAAAAAAAAAAAA
ensembl:lncRNA